AACAGGUAUUGCCUCAGUAACGGCGAGUGAAGCGGCAACAGCUCAAAUUUGAAAUCUGGCCCCAGGCCCGAGUUGUAAUUUGCAGAGGAUGCUUUUGGUGCGGUGCCUUCCAAGUUCCCUAGAACGGGACGCCAGAGAGGGUGAGAGCCCCGUACAGUUGGACACCAAGCCUUUGUAAAGCUCCUUCGACGAGUCGAGUAGUUUGGGAAUGCUGCUCAAAAUGGGAGGUAUAUUUCUUCUAAAGCUAAAUACCGGCCAGAGACCGAUAGCGCACAAGUAGAGUGAUCGAAAGAUGAAAAGCACUUUGAAAAGAGGGUUAAACAGCACGUGAAAUUGUUAAAAGGGAAGCGCUUGUGACCAGACUUGCGUCCGGUGAAUCACCCAGCUCUCGCGGCUGGGGCACUUCGCCGGCUCAGGCCAGCAUCAGCUCGCUGUCGGGGACAAAAGCUUCAGGAACGUAGCUCUCUUCGGGGAGUGUUAUAGCCUGUUGCACAAUACCCUUCGGCGGGCUGAGGUACGCGCUCCGCAAGGAUGCUGGCAUAAUGGUCAUCAGCGACCCGUCUGAAAA
rnacentral:rRNA from 1 species